UACGGAGGAUCCGAGCGUUAUCCGGAUUUAUUGGGUUUAAAGGGUGCGCAGGCGGGGGAUUAAGUCGGCGGUGAAAUUUUGCAGCUCAACUGUAAAAGUGCCUUCGAAACUGGUUUCCUUGGGUGUAGAUGAAGUAGGCGGAAUUUGUGGUGUAGCGGUGAAAUGCUUAGAUAUCACGAGGAACUCCGAUUGCGCAGGCAGCUUACUAAACUACUACUGACGCUCAGGCACGAAGGCGUGGGGAUCAAACAGGAUUAGAUACCCGGGUAGUCCCUGAG
rnacentral:rRNA from 1 species